rnacentral:rRNA from 1 species
AGGGUUCGAUCAUGGCUCAGGACGAACGCUGGCGGUGCGCCUUAUGCAUGCAAGUCGAGCGAAGCUUUUCAGUAGUUUACUACAGAAAAUGACUGAGCGGCGAACGGGUGAGUAACGCGUGAGCAACCUACCUUAGUUACUGGGAUAGCCCGAGGAAACUCGGAUUAAUACCGGAUAUUCUUAUUUAAUCACAUGAUUUUUUAAGGAAAGGUCAGCCGAACUAAGAUGGGCUCGCGUUCUAUCAGCUAGUUGGUAGGGUAAUGGCCUACCAAGGCUACGACGGAUAGCUGGUCUGAGAGGACGAUCAGCCACACUGGGACUGAGACACGGCCCAGACUCCUACGGGAGGCUGCAGCAGGGAAUAUUGCGCAAUGAGCGAAAGCUUGACGCAGCGACACCGCGUGUGGGAUGACGGAUCUAGGUUUGUAAACCACUUUCAGGAGGGAAGAAAAUGACGGUACCUCCACAAGAAGCCCCGGCCAACUACGUGCCAGCCGCCGCGGUAAUA